AGUGACUCACCUCAACUCCCACCAUGUGAGUGUGCUGUCUGCUGUCACUCCUAGUUUGGCCCGGGUGGCAGGCUUCACCUGCUCCGCUGCAGGUCGGCAGUUCAGGGGGGUGCUGGACGAGCACCUAGCCAUGCUGUACUUUCCGGAGGGGAACAAGGAGCUGGCUGUGAAGGGGGAGGAAGGGCAGCUGUACCACUGGAGCCUACCCUCCUCCUUCCAGCUACUGAAGGGACUUUUCCAUCUUGUUCCUUACCUUUGGCUGAGACCUUCCUCGCGUGCUUGUCUUCUGUGUCCCGUGCCCUCACCCAGUGCUCCCACCCACUGUUCCCUCGACCUCCCAGCCCUUAAGGUUGGCCAGGAACACCUACACUCCUUCCUGGGAGGAAAGCUGUGCCGGGACCCUUUCGACCAGGAAGUCACAGCACAUAUUCAUAGAUGACAACAUCCGGCAGAAUGAUGAGGACAUCGUUGCCCAUCCAAAGGUGUUCCUGGACUGAGACGGCUCAGAGACCUGCAUAUAGCCUUCACCUCGUAGCUGUAUGACCUACGUCUGGUCCAGAACGACCGUUCAGAGCCAUUUCAGACCUAGUGUAUUUCAGCCAGCUAUGACAGGAACCUUCAGCAUGGGGCAGGCUAGAGUGGUGUGUCUGCAGCCUAUAGCUCCAGGAGUGGCUGCGGUUCUGGAUUUUCUGGAACACAGGAGUUUUGGACGAAAGAUACAGAGAUUUCUACACAUGUGCAAGAUCCACUGCGUGCCCUUCCCCUCCCCGAGUCCUUCCAGCUGCUGCUCUGUGAUCACUCACUCACCCCAUGACUCCGCUGCGUGCCCUUCCCCUCCCCGAGUCCUUCCAGCUGCUGCUCUGUGAUCACUCACUCACCCCAUGACUCCGCUGCGUGCCCUUCCCCUCCCCGAGUCCUUCCAGCUGCUGCUCUGUGAUCACUCACUCACCCCAUGACUCCGCUGCGUGCCCUUCCCCUCCCCGAGUCCUUCCAGCUGCUGCUCUGUGAUCACUCACUCACCCCAUGACUCCGCUGCGUGCCCUUCCCCUCCCCGAGUCCUUCCAGCUGCUGCUCUGUGAUCACUCACUCACCCCAUGACUCCGCUGCGUGCCCUUCCCCUCCCCGAGUCCUUCCAGCUGCUGCUCUGUGAUCACUCACUCACCCCAUGACUCCGCUGCGUGCC